rfam:Triticum aestivum genome assembly, contig: Triticum_aestivum_CS42_TGACv1_scaffold_570842_7AS
CUGCUACUCCCUCCGUUCCGAAUUACUUGUCGCAGGUAUGAAUGUAUCUAGAUGUAUUUUAGUUCUAGAUACAUCCAUUUCUGCGAUGAGUAAUUUGGAACGGAGGGAGUAGAUU